UGUCGAUGGAUAACAGGUUGAAAUUCCUGUACUGCUUAUGGACAGAACUGUGGGGACGCAGAAGGAGAGCACGAGCCGGAAAUGGAAAAGCCGGUACAAGCGUAUAGCAGUCAUGCAGGCAAAACCGCAUGAAAAAUGUAAAGCGUUAUGUGGAUCGAACAUUAGUAGAGAAGCGUGUGAGCCAGCUGCCAAGAAAAGCCGCUAUUGUUUCAUAAGUACCCGUACCGUAAACCGACACAGGUGGAUGAGGAGAGAAUCCUAAGGCCGGCGGGAGAAGUGUUGUUAAGGAACUCGGCAAAAUGACUCCGUAACUUCGGGAGAAGGAGUGCCACAGAGAUGUGGCCGCAGAGAAAUGGCCCAAGCAACUGUUUAGCAAAACACAGGUCUAUGCAAAACCGAAAGGUGAGGUAUAUGGGCUGACGCCUGCCCGGUGCUGGAAGGUUAAGAGGAGAGGUUAGUGCAAUCGAAGCUUUGAAUUUAAGCCCCAGUAAACGGCGGCCGUAACUAUAACGGUCCUAAGGUAGCGAAAUUCCUUGUCGGGUAAGUUCCGACCCGCACGAAAGGCGUAAUGAUUUGGGCACUGUCUCAACAACACACCCGGUGAAAUUGAAAUACCAGUGAAGAUGCUGGUUACCUGCGCCAGGACGGAAAGACCCCAUGGAGCUUUACUCCAGUUUGAUACUGGGAUUCGGUACUGUCUGUACAGGAUAGGUGGGAGGCUAGGAAAUGGUGACGCCAGUUGCCAUGGAGCCAACCUUGGGAUACCACCCUUACAGUACUGGGUUUCUAACCUGCAGCCGUAACCCGGCUGGGGGACAAUGUCUGACGGGGAGUUUGACUGGGGCGGUCGCCUCCGAAAGAGUAUCGGAGGCGCUCAAAGGUUCCCUCAGAACGGUUGGAAACCGUUCGAAGAGUGCAAAGGCAGAAGGGAGCUUGACUGCGACACCGACGGGUGGAGCAGAUACGAAAGUAGGACUUAGUGAUCCGGUGGUAUAAAGUGGGAUUGCCAUCGCUCAACGGAUAAAAGCUACCCUGGGAUAACAGGCUUAUCACUCCCAAGAGUUCACAUCGACGGAGUGGUUUGGCACCUUGAUGUCGGCUCAUCGCAUCCUGGAGCUGUAGCAGGUUCCAAGGGUUGGGCUGUUCGCCCAUUAAAGCGGUACGCGAGCUGGGUUCAGAACGUCGUGAGACAGUUCGGUCCCUAUCCGGCGUGGGCGUAGGAUAUUUGAGAGGAGCUGUCCUUAGUACGAGAGGACCGGGAUGGACAAACCUCUGGUGUAUCUGUUGUUUUACCAAAGGCAUGGCAGAGUAGCCAAGUUUGGCAGGGAUAAACGCUGAAGGCAUCUAAGCGUGAAGCCCCCCUCAAGAUAAGAUAUCCCAUCUUCGGAGUAAGACCCCUUGAAGACUACAAGGUUGAUAGGCUUCAGGUGUAAGUGUGGUAACGCACUCAGCUGAGAAGUACUAAUAGGUCGAGGACUUAUCAA
rnacentral:rRNA from 1 species